GAUGAACGCUAGCGGCAGGCUUAACACAUGCAAGUCGAGGGGUAGAGGGGCUUGCUCCUUCGAGACCGGCGCACGGGUGCGUAACGCGUAUGCAAUCUGCCUUGUACAAAGGGAUAGCCCAGAGAAAUUUGGAUUAAUACCUUAUAGUAUAGCGAUAUGGCAUCAUAUGGCUAUUAAAGAUUUAUCGGUACAAGAUGAGC
rnacentral:rRNA from 1 species